rnacentral:rRNA from 1 species
GGUGUAGGCGGUUCAGUAAGUCGGAUGUGAAAUCCUACGGCCUAACCGUGGAACUGCAUCCGAUACUGCUGAACUUGAGGACGGUAGAGGCCGGUGGAAUUCCCGGUGUACCGGUGAAAUGGGCAGAUAUCGGGAGGAACACCAGUGGCGAAGGCGGCCGGCUGGGCCGAUCCUGACGCUGAGACCCGAAAGCCAGGGUAGCGAACC